rnacentral:snoRNA from 2 species
CCGCAUGAGUUGCGUCCUGCUGUAAAUAUGGACAAACAAUAUAUUUGACGGAAUUUAGGUGAGCAUUUUAUGAGUCGUAGAUGCUCAUAAAGGACCGUCACACAUAC